AUACCCUGGUAGUCCGCACGGUAACCGAUGGACGCCCCGCUGUUGUGCAUUUAUACUCAGCGACCAAGAGAAAGCGUUAAACGUCCCACCUGGGGAGUACGCCGGCAACGGUGAAACUCAAAGGAAUUGACGGGGGCCCGCACAAGCGGAGGAACAUGUGGUUUAAUUCGAUGAUACGCGAGGAACCUUACCCGGGCUUGAACUGCACAGGAAAGAUCCAGAGAUGGUGAUGCCCUCCGGGGCCUGUGCGGAGGUGCUGCAUGGUUGUCGUCAGCUCGUGCCGUGAGGUGUCGGCUUAAGUGCCAUAACGAGCGCAACCCCUGCCGCCAGUUGCCAUCGCGUUGAGGCGGGCACUCUGGCGGGACUGCCACCGCAAGGUGUGAGGAAGGUGGGGAUGACGUCAAAUCAGCACGGCCCUUACGUCCGGGGCUACACACGUGUCACAAUGGCCGGCACAGAGAGUCGGCGUGCCGCAAGGCGCGUCCAAUCAUGAAAUCCGGUCUCAGCUCGGAUUGGGGUCUGCAACCCGACCCCAUGAAGCUGGAUUCGCUAG
rnacentral:rRNA from 1 species